rnacentral:rRNA from 1 species
UACGUAGGUGGCAAGCGUUGUCCGGAUUUACUGGGCGUAAAGAGCGCGCAGGCGGUCGUUCAAGUCGCGUGUGAAAGCCCCCCGGCUCAACUGGGGAGGGUCACGCGAUACUGAUCGACUCGAAGGCAGGAGAGGGUAGUGGAAUUCCCCGGUGUAGUGGUGAAAUGCGUAGAUAUCGGGAGGAACACCAGUGGCGAAGGCGACUACCUGGCCUGUUCUUGACGCUGAGGCGCGAAAGCUAGGGGAGCAAACGGGG